GUGGUGGCUGCGCUUGCGAGCACCCUGAGGUAGAUUGGGUGGUUUCAGCAGGAACGCAUCCACUGUCUGAGAGUUUAAACUUGAUUUUGUGAGGGGACGAACAGCGUGACAAUUAAAGAAGAUCUAGGAAUCAAAAGCUUCCUGAGGCCUUCACCAGAAGCAGAUGCUGGUGCCGUGCUUCUACAGCCUGCAGAACUCAUCACCGCUCUUGCACUCCAAGCCAUUAUUAAGUAAAGUAAAGAACACAAACACUGUGAUACUGCUACACUUGAUCUGAUAACCAAAAAGUCUACUAAGUGACUAACAGUUAAUAUUUUUGGACAUGAGGUGACUGCAGGUAACUAAAACCAUGGAAAGCAAAACCAUAGAUAAAGGGAUAUUAUGCAGAGCAACUGGGAACCUAAUUCUGACCAACAAGGAGGAAUUGUUUGGCUAAUUGGAAGUGACAGAAACCUUGGGAGAAAGCAACCGCAUACCAAGGAUAAUUAUAAGAAGAAGAGAAGACAUGGAGAAGAGGAGGGAGUAGUUGUGACCGUGGAGGCAGAGAAUGGAGUAAUGUGAUCAUAAAUCAAGGAAUGCUGACAGCCACUAAAGCUGGAGAAGGCCAAGGACAGAUAUUCAAUCCUCCCGUAGAAGUACAGCCCUGCUAAUGCAUUGAUUUUGGACUUCUGGCCUCAGAACUGUAAGAGAAUAAAUUUCUAUUGUUUUAAGCCAUC
rnacentral:antisense_RNA from 1 species